UACAGAGGUCUCAAGCGUUUGUUCGGAUUCAUUGGGCGUAAAGGGUGCGUAGGCGGCGCGGUAAGUCGGGUGUGAAAUCUUGGAGCUUAACUCCGAAACUGCAUUCGAUACUGCCGUGCUUGAGGACUGGAGAGGAGACUGGAAUUCAUGGUGUAGCAGUGAAAUGCGUAGAGAUCAUGAGGAAGACCAGUGGCGAAGGCGGGUCUCUGGACAGUUCCUGACACUGAGGCACGAAGGCCAGGGGAGCAAACGGG
rnacentral:rRNA from 1 species